CCGCGGGCGGGGAGUCGUCCCCGCCCCCCGCCUGACCUCCGGCCGUAGCGUGUAUGUCCGCGCCGCGGCAGCUCGGCUAGCUGCGAGCGUUUAAAGCCAGUGGCGGUGGACGCAGAACCGCCUUUGGCCGGCGCCGGUUAUGAGCUCGGACGCGGCGCUGGUGCGGGGAGAAAUUGCGGGAAAGGGUGGAUAGGAGGCCGGCACCAGUCCCUUCGCAGCUAGCGUCUCCCGGGCGGCGCCGUCCCCAGAGGCGGGCGCGUCUCGGCGCAAACCUCACUUGCCGUACAUGUCGCACGCCAGGGUCUGCUGGCUCUGAGAUGCGGUCCUCCUCGGGCUCGGUGCCUUAACCAGCUGCGUUCCUUUGGGUGAUCGUGUCUCAGGGGAGCCGCGAAACGGGGCGCUUUUUUUUUUAACUGGAGGCCGGCCAGAAAUAGGCUGAAAAGACCCCGGGAGGAAGAAACUCUUUAACAGCUAUCUUUAGCUUCUUAAGGUGAUUGAUUCUCAGAUGUCUGCGUUUCAGAAAACCAACUGAGGAGCUUUUUCAAAGCAGAGAUGCCAUGGCCACACCCCAGACCUGCAUCAGGAAGUGGGGGGAGAGGGCUGAUGGAUGUUGAAAAGUCGCUUCGGCGGAUUCCGAUGUGCGUCAGUUUGAGGAGCCACCACCGAUCUACCCAGGGUUGUGUCCUGAGAGUCCCAUGUAGUGUCCCGGCGCGAGUUGCGUUCCAAAUGCCCUAAUGAUAUCGAUGAUAGAAGCUUUCAGAAAGGUUUGUCUCUGUUUGAAAACAAGUACCCGAGAUGUUUAUGCAGUGCAAGCGGCUGUUUUAACGUUAGGAUCACGAAGUGCUUUCGUCUUCUGACAGUGUUCCCAAGGAACUGGUAUUCUCUGAGCUCGCACAAGGCCUUAAAAAUAAGCCGCCUCAAAACAUUUGUCAUUUAUUCGCUCACAGAUACCGACCUCUUACUGUGUAGUAGGGGAGUGUUUUAGAGAUCACAGCAGAAAGCAAAGAUCUUUGCCUUGGAGGAGUUUGCAAUCUAACGGAGGAAGAUUGACAAUAAAUAUAUGCCAGGGAGUGAUAAAUACCAUGAAGACAAAAUAAGCAGAGUAGAAGAAAUCAGAAAUGACUGGGGAAGGCCUCUGUUGGUAGAUGAACAAGACUUGUGGCUCUCUUGCAGAAGAGUAUUCCAGGCAGAGGAACACAGGCUGCUGUGAGAACAUACCACACACUGAGUGUCUUAAAACAACAGAAACUUACUGUCUUACAGUUCUGGGGCCUAGAAGUUUGAAGUCAAGGUGUCAUCAAGGCCACGCUCUUUCCGAAGGCUCUAGGAAGAAUACAUCCUCCCAGUUUCUGGUGGUUGCCAGCGAGCCCUGAUAUUCCUGGGCUUGUAGACUCAUCACUGUAAUCUGUCUUUACGUGGUGUUGCUCUCUUGGUCUGUCUUCACAAUGCCUUCCGUGUGUGUGUGUGUGUGUGUAUGUGUGUGUGUGUGUGUGUGUGUGUGUGUGUGUGUGUGUGUGUGUGUGUAUGUGUCUUCCCUUCUUCUCAGGACAGCACCAGAAUGGACUUAGGGCCCAUCCUCUCUGUGGGUACCUACUUUGCUCUGCCCCAUCUAAUGACUUUAGGACUGAAGUUGGAAAGGGAGUGGGAGGGAUAUUAAAGCAUGUCUAAGUUUAGAAAAACCAAAUAUGUCUACAAAUUCAACAUUAUUCCCAACUGAGAUGGAAUCUAAUUCCUCUCCCUUGAAUACGGCCUGGCUUUACUGCCUUGCUUCGAACAAACACAACAGGUCAGAAGUAACAGUGUGACUUCUGGGGCCAAGUCAUAGAAAGUAAUACAUCUUAUGUUGGACUCUCUGACAUAUACCUUUGGAGGAGCUGUCACGUAAGAAGUCUGGCUACCCUGAAGCCUCCAUGCGAGAGAAACCACAUAGACAGAGAGAGAGGUGCCCAAGGAUUCCUGAAAGUCCCAGUCAGCUGUCAGUUGUUUGAUUCUUCCCAGCCCAUGUGUCAGAUACAAGUGAAUCUAUCGAGAAAACACUAGUCCCGGACACCCUCUGACCACAACUAAUCACAAUAAACUCAACGCUGCAUUACAGCUCGACGUGGGAUAAGGAGACCCUGGAACCCAAAGAACAGCGGUGAGAUUACGGGAGGCUACAAGCAGAUGUGCCGCAAAGAUUUUCUCCUGAAUCAGGAAGUCAUCUUUUAUACUCGUCAAUUCCUUACAAGUGGAGGGUUAGAACACAACUCUGGAGCUACACUACUGGAUCAAACACCUGGAUGACUUUCUAGCUCUAGAACUUCGACAAGUUUCUUCAUCAGCACCCACUAUAAGUCUGUGUACGGGAACGGCAGUACCUACUUCCUAGGGUUUCUGUGAGGAUCAAAUGAUUUUUGUAUUCACGUUAGUUCACCUACCUCAAGUGGUUAGAAUGGGGGUCCAAGCUUCAUGAAAUUGUUUGUUACCUCUGAUGAUGAUAACGACGGACGACACAGAUGGACACUGUAUUUCAGAAGUCUUGCAUGGCAAUCAAAAAUCUGUUUAGAACUUAACCCUUUAUUUGAAACUAUAUAAACCAAAAGUUUCCAACUGAUUGUACAUGUUAAAAACUUUCUAUAAAUAUCUCUUGGAUACAAAAUUUGGUCCAGUCGUUCAAAAUUAAUUCUAUAAUAUU